GGGUUGUGAGGUUAAGCGACUAAGCGUACACGGUGGAUGCCCUGGCAGUCAGAGGCGAUGAAGGGCGUGCUAAUCUGCGAUAAGCGCCGGUAAGGUGAUAUGAACCGUUAUAACCGGCGAUACCCGAAUGGGGAAACCCAGUGUGAUUCGUCACACUAUCAUUAACUGAAUCCAUAGGUUAAUGAGGCGAACCGGGGGAACUGAAACAUCUAAGUACCCCGAGGAAAAGAAAUCAACCGAGAUUCCCCCA
rnacentral:rRNA from 19 species